AGCGAACGCUGGCGGCAGGCUUAACACAUGCAAGUCGAGCGGGCCCUUCGGGGUCAGCGGCGGACGGGUGAGUAACGCGUGGGAACGUGCCUUCUGGUCUGGAAUAACCCUGGGAAACUAGGGCUAAUACCGGAUACGCCCUUUUGGGGAAAGGUUUACUGCCGGAAGAUCGGCCCGCGUCUGAUUAGCUAGUUGGUGGGGUAACGGCCUACCAAGGCGACGAUCAGUAGCUGGUCUGAGAGGAUGAUCAGCCACACUGGGACUGAGACACGGCCCAGACCCCUCCGGGAGGCAGCAGUGGGGAAUAUUGGAAAAUGGGCGCAAGCCUGAUCCGCCCUUGCCGGGUGGGUGAUGAAGGCCUUAGGGUUGUAAAGCUCUUUUACCCGGGACGAUAAUGACGGUACCGGAGGAAUAAGCCCCGGCUACCUUCGU
rnacentral:rRNA from 1 species